UUCACUGUUGAUGUAACGUAAACUUUUCUGUGUCCAUGUCCCCGUUGCUAGUUUAGCACCAUUUGCUGAAAUAAAUGACCAUGGCUUAGCUAGCUAGUUGCUACGUUGAGACUAGCGUUAGCCGUGGUAGCUAAUUCUGUGGUUGGCAUGUAGCCACGGCUAUCGCGACGCAACACAAUAAUUGACUAAUGUUUAGCUACCAGCUGUGCCGUGCUUAUCAUAUUAAACAGUGCUCUACUGGUUGAAGUAGUGAGAGUUAGUUAAGAAGUGGGUCAAGUCUUCGAAUUGUUGCUAACCUCUAGCUAUAUUGCUAUGUUUUCUCCAGGUUAUUUUGAAUGGACAGCUUUGUCGCUGAUAAGCUAACUGACUGGCGGCUGUCUGAGCUGACAGAGAAUUUUAGAGGCCAUCCACAAACAUAAAAGAGGCCCUGGCGCUAUCAUUGGUUCAGACAUUCCCUGAAUGAUGGAUCAGAAAUUGGCUAUUUCCAGAGACUCCAGAAUGAAAACCAAGCUCUGAGGGAGGAGAACCACACCCUGAGGGAAAGCAAUGCACGAGCAGCUUCGGAUGACAGCGGCUCACUUCAAGAGCAGGUGAAGCAAGUUGGGACAAUGUUGAAGACGUUUGCUUGCACUUGGCAAUCAGGUGCAGAUCGGACCCUAAUGCUGCGACGUCUUGGAGAGUUUGGCGAUGUUGUGCGUAGCAUGGACAACAAAAUGGAAACUAUGCAGCAACAUUUCAGUGCCAAUGUGUCUGUUGGAGAGCCACUGAUGAGGCGGUCCAGGUUAACGUUACGCGUUACCUGAAAGCAUCUGACCGUGAAGGCGGAAAAAGGCGCCGCACAGCUGAGAGGGACCCACAGCCGACCCCUUAAACCUAGGCUGACUACUGACACCCCCGCAUCACUGACAACUGGAACACUUUCUUUAUCCUGCAGUCAGUAACAUCAAGAAGCCGGAAGUGCCAGACUACACUCACCCAAUCCACACUAUUCUCUGUGGAAAUUAUUUUUUCUUCUUUUUUUAUUCCCCAUGACCCUGCCUUGAGGGCAGCGCCUUGGAUGGAUAUGGGAUGGUGAGGUUGUUUGUCCUUUAUACAGGCGCACGAGGGAUCACUGAAGAUAUGCCCAUUUUGCGCUGCCUCAUUCUGGAGAUCCCGUAGUCAGGCUUGAAAGACUGAUUAUCAUUACUUAGACUGUCCCGCAAUUCUUAGCCCACUACCCCACGCAGACCCCAACCACUCCACACGUUCUGAUUGGCUGUGUUCUCUACAGCCAGAUUUCCUGCUGUUAAUUGUGUUUGUUCCCACUUGUUGUCAUGUGUAAAUUUAAUGUCAAAAUGUAUAUUACCUGGUAUCCUGCACAUUCUUUGAUACCAAAGAUCUCAAUUACUUCCUAUACAAUUUGCUGCUUAUUUCAUUGUUACAGUGCUUAACUAUUCUAUUUAUAAAUAUAGCUUGUAAAUCCUAGAUUAUACCUCUAAUACUUGAUAUCUGCUCAUUAUCUGUUCUGGUACCAAAUAUUUUACUUAACGUAACUUUAGUAUUGGCUUAUUUCAUUCAGUCAGUGCUUAACAAUGGUAUUAUAGUUUGUAAAUCCUAUUUCAUACCUGUUACUUGCACAUUAACUAGUACCAACAUUCUACUUUCAUUCCAUCAGUGUGCUUAACUGUUAUUCUAUUAAAAAUAGCUUGGAAAUCCUAUUUCACCAAAUAUUCUACUUACUCUGUUAACAUUUGCUUUUUUCGUUUUGUCACAGUGCUUAACUUUUAUUCUGUUGUUAAAUAGAACUUGUAAAUCCUUGUGUCACAAGUCAGCAUUGCAGUUAUGUAUGUCUGUUCUACUACUGUUUUUACCUCAGUAUGUAUGUAUGUGUAAAUAUAUAAUAUAUAUGUGUGUGUAUUUAAGUGAUCUGACACGUCUUGUUUCAAUGACAGUUACUGUACUUUGAAAUGUGGAAUUAAAACGCCAAAUGGAAAUUU